GUCAUGGGCCUUUGUUCAGGUUCCCAGUGGCUGAGGAGUGCGUUCUUUGGCUGCAUUUACAUGCUCGGAUAAAUCACCCAAAGACAAAUGCCACGGUAGAUUUAUAGGGUUAACAUGGCAGCUCUUUCCUGUUCUGGCAGUCGUCCCAGGCCCUGAGCCAGCAGGGGCGGCUCCCGCCUUGUAAGACACUGUUCUCCAUAAUGGCUGCGAGCCUGUUGAACUCUGGGACUCUGCUGGAGGGCGUUAGGCGGAUGGAGAGGGCAUGAACUUCUCCGGGCUGCAUAGCACAGGCUUUAAAUAUCUGGGCCGUGGAGUCAGGUUGCCCUGGUUCCCGUCUCUGAUCACCCUCCCUGAUAAAGGCCACCCAGCACUGACACCGGAAACACAGAUGGGUGUUUGCUAGCCAUAAUGGGAAGCGGGACAAACAAAACAUCAUGUCUGAAAAAAUGCUGACAGCACGGUACGUGGCGGAAUCCCUGUUGCUUACUCAUGCUCACGUGGCUGGGAGCUGAGGCCGGCAGCUGCUGGCCAGGAUCACCAGAGAGCACUGAAUUUCUUUAGCCCGGGAAAAGAUCAAAAUUCAAAAUUCGAAGUACAGCCUCUCCUGAAUAUGUCUCUCUGUUGCACCAUUGAAAAAUCGAAGUCAAACCAUCACAAGGCUGGGACCAUCUGUCCAGUUUUUCUGUAAUUGAUGUAUUCUGGCUUAACUCUGAAACAAGCUGGCUUCUCCUGUAAUUGAAAACGUUUGGUGACUAUGGCAACACCCUUAUUAGCCCCCAAGGUCUGGGAGUUCUGCUUGUGGGGAAAGGGACAGGAGUUCUGCCUUUCCCGUCGUGUUGUGUUUUCAGACAAGCAGCACAUGUCUUUAGGCACAUUCAGGGUGCUUCGCAGCCUUAUCUCACGGAAUUUAAAAUCCAACUGGGAAAUGUGGCGCCUCUUCUUCAUCCCCCCUUCCUUAGCUCGUCCCUGCCAGCAGCCGUCCUGUACUAUGUUCUAAUAUAAAAGCGUUCGGAGAUGUCUCCGUUGGACAUUCAGCAGCUUUGCAUCCUCUCUGUGAGCUGGUGCCCCGGAUGUGGCAGCCUUGCAUCUACAGAGCCUGAAUGAUGAGCACAGUUGAGAAAUUGAGGAGCUAGGAACUUAACACUAAGGGAGGCACCCCACAUGCUCUGGGACCUCAAAGGGCCAGAAAUAGGAAUGUCGCCAAGUAUCAGACCCAAUGAGGAUGGAUGUCAGGCUGUUAACAACUCGGUUUGAAUUGCCUUCGACAUGGCUUCUGUGGGCUAAUGGUUGUGACCAUGGACUAGUAUAAGCCAACAGCUUCAUCUGAGGCCAAACAUCUGGCACGCUGAGCUACAGCCAAGUCAUAGGGCCACAUAGGGACCUCUGGGGAUGUUGCUUUUAAUCACCUGCCCCUACCAAAGAACGCAUGAUCGCUCUAAAAAGAACAAAGUUAGCUCCAGACCAAUGGCAUGACCACUACAGCCAUUCUUAUCUGCCAAGCAGGAAAGAACUAAAUGAAAAGCUGUAAUGAAGAAAGAUAAUAAUUUUAAAAUUAGUAUGUAUUAAUAAUUAAGCCAUAUUAAGUCUUGAAAUGGUAUCAUGAAUAUGCUAGUAACAUGUUCUUCCCAAUUGAAUACAUAUAGGGGCUGAAUAAUUUGAAAGUCAUAUAUUGCAUGUUGGUUUACAACAAAUAUUAAAUAUAUGUAGUGGAAAUAUAAA